rnacentral:rRNA from 1 species
AUUGAACGCUGGCGGCAGGCCUAACACAUGCAAGUCGAACGAGUGGCGGACGGGUGAGUAAUGUCUGGGAAACUGCCCGAUGGAGGGGGAUAACUACUGGAAACGGUAGCUAAUACCGCACAACAUCGGAUGUGCCCAGAUGGGAUUAGAUAGUAGGUGGGGUAACGGCUAACCUAGGCGACGAUCCCUAGCUGGUCUGAGAGGAUGACCAGCCACACUGGAACUGAGACACGGUCCAGACUCCUACGGGAGGCAGCAUUGGGUAAUAUUGCCCAAUGGGCGCAAGCCUGAUGCAGCCAUGCCGGGUGUAUGAAGAGGGCCUUCGGGUUGUAAAGUACUUUCAGCGAGGAGGCGUUACUCGCAGAAGAAGCACCGGCUAACUCCGUGCCAGCAGCCGCGGUAAUAC